CCGAGUUUACAAACUCCCAAACCCUUGUGAACAUACCUAUAUGUUGCCUCGGCGGGAUCAGCCCGGCGGCCCCUUAACGGGGGAACAGGCCGCCGCGAGAAUCCACAAACUCUGUUUUUAUUGUACUCUCUGAGUGAUACUAAACAAAUAAAUCA
rnacentral:misc_RNA from 1 species